GACGAACGCUGGCGGCGUGCCUAAUACAUGCAAGUUGAGCGCUGAAGGUUGGUACUUGUACCAACUGGAUGAGCAGCGAACGGGUGAGUAACGCGUGGGGAAUCUGCCUUUGAGCGGGGGACAACAUUUGGAAACGAAUGCUAAUACCGCAUAAAAACUUUAAACACAAGUUUUAAGUUUGAAAGAUGCAAUUGCACCACUCAAAGAUGAUCCCGCGUUGUAUUAGCUAGUUGGUGAGGUAAAGGCUCACCAAGGCGAUGAUGCAUAGCCGACCUGAGAGGGUGAUCGGCCACAUUGGGACUGAGACACGGCCCAAACUCCUACGGGAGGCAGCAGUAGGGAAUCUUCGGCAAUGGACGAAAGUCUGACCGAGCAACGCCGCGUGAGUGAAGAAGGUUUUCGGAUCGUAAAACUCUGUUGGUAGAGAAGAACGUUGGUGAGAGUGGAAAGCUCAUCAAGUGACGGUAACUACCCAGAAAGGGACGGCUAACUACGUG
rnacentral:rRNA from 1 species